rnacentral:rRNA from 1 species
GACACGGUCCAAACUCCUACGGGAGGCAGCAGUGAGGAAUAUUGGUCAAUGGUCGGCAGACUGAACCAGCCAAGUCGCGUGAGGGAAGACGGCCCUACGGGUUGUAAACCUCUUUUGUCGGAGAGUAAAGUACGCUACGUGUAGCGUAUUGCAAGUAUCCGAAGAAAAAGCAUCGGCUAACUCCGUGCCAGCAGCCGCGGUAAUACGGAGGAUGCAAGCGUUAUCCGGAUUUAUUGGGUUUAAAGGGUGCGUAGGCGGCACGCCAAGUCAGCGGUGAAAUUUCCGGGCUCAACCCGGAGUGUGCCGUUGAAACUGGCGAGCUAGAGUACACAAGAGGCAGGCGGAAUGCGUGGUGUAGCGGUGAAAUGCAUAGAUAUCACGCAGAACCCCGAUUGCGAAGGCAGCCUGCUAGGGUGAAACAGACGCUGAGGCACGAAAGCGUGGGUAUCGAACAGGAUUAGAUACCCUGGUAGUCCACGCAGUAAACGAUGAAUACUAACUGUUUGCGAUACAAUGUAAGCGGUACAGCGAAAGCGUUAAGUAUUCCACCUGGGGAGUACGCCGGCAACGGUGAAACUCAAAGGAAUUGACGGGGGCCCGCACAAGCGGAGGAACAUGUGGUUUAAUUCGAUGAUACGCGAGGAACCUUACCCGGGCUUAAAUUGCAGAUGAAUUACGGUGAAAGCCGUAAGCCGCAAGGCAUCUGUGAAGGUGCUGCAUGGUUGUCGUCAGCUCGUGCCGUGAGGUGUCGGCUUAAGUGCCAUAACGAGCGCAACCCCUAUCGACAGUUACUAACGGGUCAAGCCGAGGACUCUGUCGAGACUGCCGGCGCAAGCCGCGAGGAAGGUGGGGAUGACGUCAAAUCAGCACGGCCCUUACGUCCGGGGCGACACACGUGUUACAAUGGCAGGUACAGAAGGCAGCCAGUCAGCAAUGACGCGCGAAUCCCGAAAACCUGUCUCAGUUCGGAUUGGAGUCUGCAACCCGACUCCAUGAAGCUGGAUUCGCUAGUAAUCGCGCAUCAGCCAUGGCGCGGUGAAUACGUUCCCGGGCCUUGUACACACCGCCCGUCAAGCCAUGGAAGCUGGGGGUGCCUGAAGUUCGUGACCGCAAGGAGCGACCUAGGGCAAAACCGGUAACUGGGGCUAAGUCGUAACAAGGUAGCCGUACCGGAAGGUGCGGCUG